UUCCAGGAUGAAGGGUUCAGUUUCAUUCUGAUGCCUGCCAAAGGUUCACGAUGUCCUUGAGCAGUCCAAUGUUGAAGCCUCUCCGGAUCAGCUGUGAUGACACUGCCGUCAGUCUGUCCACAGUCCUCAGAGAAACCAAGUGGAAGUAGCAACUGAAGAACAAUCUCUAUGAGAGUGACCUGUGGCUAUGACUGUCAGACGUUAAAAUUUACUGACUGGUAAUGGAGGACUCAACCAUCUGUGGGAUGUGCCACUCCCAGGUGUAUUUUACAUGCAUGUGUGUCUAUGUAGCACUUGCAUUCCUGAUUUGCCUGGAGACCAGAAAAGGAUAACUGAAUAUAAGCCUGAGACCUUGCCAGUAAGCAUCAUUCCUCUGUGCUCUUUGAUUUAGCUCCUACCUCUAAAUUCAUGCCUUGAAUCCCUGCACUGGCAUCCCUCAUAGAUGGAAUGUUAUACACAUUAUCUUCUCAGUCAUGCUCUCUGACAGAAAAAUUACAGGAGAGAAGAGCUGAAGAGAUGGCUCAGCAGUUAAGAGCACUGACUUCUAGAACUUCCAGAGGUCCUGAGUUCAAUUCCCAGGAACCCCAUGGUGGCUCAAAACCAUCUGUAAUGGGAUCUGAUGCCCUCUUCUGGUGUCUGAAGACAACUCCAGUGUACUCAUAUAAAUGAAAUAAAUUAAUAAAUCUUUCUUAAAAAGAAAAAAAAAAAAGGCAUGCAAAAGAAGCAGAGGAGUGGUGCUUGUGUGCCCAGGCUUUAAAAACAAAAAAAAAAAAAAAACAAAAAAAAAAAAAAAAGAAUGAAUUCAAAUACAAAAAAGGGGACAGUAACAGGGCAGUGGAGAAAAAGAAAGAACAAAUGGAUGAAUUAAAAGAAAGAAGAGUAUUAGCAGUAGUGAAUCAAACACAAAUGCCUUGAUCGAGCCAGGAUUAAGGAGUGGGGUUGUAGGUGAAUGGCAGUGUGAUUGGCUACAUACGUGAGCCAGUCAGUUUGAUACUCUGUACUGAAGCAAAGAAAGAAAAUAAUAGAGACAGAAUUACAAUAAAGUCUUGGUUACACAUGAAUAACUAGACCGUGAAUAGUACAUUGGAACACACAUUUAUUCCACAAAAUAUGACAUCUUUAUUCAACUGACUUUGGAAAGUUGUAAAAAGUGAUAUUUGAUAGUCAUUCAGAAAAUAUAGUUAUUUAAGUAUUUUGAAAGAGGAAUUUUAUUUUGAAAUGUAUGCAAUCAGGGGGAAAGAAAAAUUUAAAUGGCCAAUGGCAUUUAUUUGUGAAACUUUACUGUAUGGGUAUUAUUUAAAAUAAGAUUCUAGGAAGUGAAUGAAGAAGAUUUGGGAAAUGCAGGUGUGAGCUAAGCUGUUAAUGACUAAAUAUUGUUAUGGCAUGAAACUUUGGUAUGGGUUUUAUUUCUAUUUAAAUUCCGAUUCUGCUUCUUUAUGUGCAUAAGUAGGAUAAAAUUGAUAUUAUUUAAUUAGUGGGGAAGUAGGGAUGAGAUAUGCAAGAACAGAAAAAAAAUGUCAGGAGACAUUCCAGAACCUUAGGCACUAAAUAUGGUAGGAGAGAAUGGAGUCACUAUCUACCAUUGCCUUCCAGUGUGGCAUAGCAUACAUUCAUAUACCCUAGGAGAAGGUAAAUCUUCUAAGAGGUUCAGACAUUUUUUUGACAUAACCUGGUGUAACUCUUCAUAAAUGUUAUAAUGAAAAAUAUUUUUCUGGGAGAAUGUAGUAAAUUAAUAUUUGUCUUAAUUAAGCCUGGCUUCUACCCUAUUGUAAUUGAGUCCAGGCAUUCCGUGUUUGUGAAAUUGCUGAGCAGACACGGGGAGUCAUGCUUGGAGAGGAAUCUUGAGUAGGUUUCAGAAGAAGAGAAGAAGAGUUCCUCAUUAGCUACUGAGAUCUGGGAAAGAAGACAGAGAGCAAAUAAAAAUGUGCAAUGUGUGGAACUUGGGGGUUGAACAUCACCUCACUCCUUUCAAACUUCAGACUAUGGUGUGGAAGUAAUUGGCAGGAAAUAUUUUUCCCACUUUCACUGUGAUUUCUGAGUAGACAAAUUCACAGUGUGAAGUUUGUGUUGAUAUGGCUUCACUUCGGCACACACACCCAGACUCAUGAAAGAAUGGCAGUGUGACAGUUUUGAGAGAGAGAGAGAAGAGAGAGAGAGAGAGAGAGAGAGAGAGAGAGAGAGAGAGAGAGAGAGAGAGAGAGAGAGAGAGAGAGAACACUGCUCUACAUGGUGGAUAGAAAUGAAGCUCUUACUCUUGUGUCUUGGUCCCAAAAUAAGAGUUGAUCUCAAAGCCAAAAGACCCACUGAGGGUUUUCCUGGUACGAGUGUUUGUGGUACAGAAGCUGCUACAAAAACACCCUAGUCUGAUACUGCAUGCAUAUUUUAAAACACAUAUAAAGAAUAACUGUGUCUUAAAGUGUUCAGGAAACAAAGAAUAAAUGCACAUAAGCGUUGAAAUAGACGAUAAGAACCCUGAAUAUAAAACCACUACUCUAUUGCCAUGACCUAGGACAAUCCAAGGGCACAGAGGACAAUGGCCACCGUGUUUCCUCCAGCUUCUGCCAGGGCAUAAUGUCACUUAUGUGAGGGACAUUCUGUAAAACACAACACUUUCCAGGAAAAAAAAAGUAGCAGAGUGUGAGACACUGCUAAUUAGCCAGUUAAAAUAUCCACCAGGAACCCUGCCCCUGUUUGGCUGGGUUGUGGCCUGUGAGGAAGAUUAGAUUUGUUGGAUGAGUGAGAACCUUCAAUUACUGUGUACAUCAGAGUUAGCCUAAGUGUGAAUUUGCAGCCCUACCAUAAUACUUAGCCUUAACCAUCAUUCUGUCCUUUUCAGUUCAUUGGCUGUCCAUAUGCAAUUAGUCCACAUUUACAGAUACUUGUUUAUUAGGCUAUGGCUACUGCCAUUAAUGAAAUAUUCUAAAAGGAAAAGUAUUUGGAACCUGAGCAAAAAAACACAUGCUCUGUGGCUGGGGCUGUCACCGCCACCAACUGACUCCGUAACCUCAGGCAAGUCAUUUAAUUUCUCUGGGCAUUAAUUUUCUCUGAAAAAAAUGAGGAGACCAAUGUAAAUCAUUGCUAAGGUCAAUUUUGAUUUUGAUGUCUGUCAUGUGAGUGCUAAAACGAGGCCUGCUGAGAUGAUGGUGGUUAGAUUUGCAUUAAUCAAGAAACAAUGAUAAUGAGUAUAGAACCAUUUAGUGAACAGAGGCCAUUUGCCUGACACCAAGUAAGUCAUUUCAUAGACACUAUUUCUAGGCAUCUAAAUAAACGCAAGAGGAUAGAGUUUCACAGUCUGCUAUUUUUUCUCUGUGCUACACAGCUGGUGAAUGUGGUAUCCAGGUUCAUAGGCCAUAAUUUCUUUGGAGUUUAUAUGCCAGAUAUGUAUGGUACUUAUACAUGGAGAUUAUUUUGUCUGAAGAUUAAUAUGUUCUAGGAAUUAUUAAAAUCUUUCAUGUCCACAGUCACUAAGAAGCUCUUUAUAGUAUCAAGGCAAAUCAAACUCCCCUCCAACGUCCUUUAGAUCUCAUUUAGAUUGUGUAGUAAGAAUGUAUUUUCAGAUUUCUGUGUUUUUGAGCUUAUGCAUGUGCACACACACACACGCACGCAUGCACACACUCACACACACACACACACACACACACACGUGUGCGCGCGCACGCACACACACCUGGGAAUUCAUGGGAAAGGGUUUGACACCAUCAAGGAUGGAACGUGGGAAAAAAGAAGUCCAGUUCAUAUCUCACUCUGAGGGCCCUACCAGUACAAAGUCACCACAUCUCAGUCCUGGCUCCUGACAGCAUAGAGCAUGUAGUUCCUCAACUCAAUAGGAUGACUUUAACAACAUCUGUUCUCAACUGAAAUCUGCCUCUUAGGAAGUCUCUGAAUAUCACCCAGUACUUCCUGGGAACAAAACUGGGGUCAGAACAAAGGAGAAAAAGCAGUGGUAUACCCUCAUAGUAGAAUGUGGAUGUCUGAAGAGAUGAACCAAGGCCACUGGGCAUGUACUAGCUAAUAGAAUAGUCUCAUGCUAAACCUGGAUGAGGUGAGUCCUCAUAGUAAAUGCAAAGUUCUCCAAAACAACCUAUGGGUUCUUUCACCUAGCACCCAUUCGGUCUGGUUCACUAUGGCUCUGGAUUAUUUCCACAGAUGUUCCUCUUCUUGUGCAACAGAUAGUCUCUGUCUCCCUGUGUUGUCACAUAGAUUUGUGAUAUGCUCACACAUACCUGGCAUCCUUGUGGGUGUAGUUUGUUUUUUUCUUUCUUGAAAUAAAGUUAUCAAUUAGUUUGGAUUACAGGAACCCAAACUUCCCUUAAAGUUCUUCAUAUCAAAUAUAAUAGCAUUCUGAAGAAAUGAGUGUUGGGGCUUUGACAAAGGAAUUGGAAGGACACAUUACUCUGAAGCUAAGUUGAUGUUAGGUGUGACAAUUAAGUAAAUACUUCUCUCCAACUAUCACUCUGUAAUGAACAUGAAAGUGCAUAUCUUUAUUCAUCAAUAUUCAAUGCCAAGAGCAUCAGUGCAUGAAACUUGUUGAGUACUACACUUGAUUGAAUGAAAAAUAAAAUCAAUACCAUGUUGAA